CCGUCUAUAGUACAUCACCAAAAGCUGCAGCGCUUUGGGUGCGAGGCUAUCUGUGUGGAAAACUCGAACUGUUCAGCAAGCAGUGCCAUUUGCUUUGUGGACGCGCUUUCCUGGUGUAGGCUUGCAAAAUGAUUGAAGAAGACCCAGUAUCGUUCGCAUUUUCGGUGAACGGAUGGACCACAGACCUGUCGUAGUGUACAAUAAGUAGCGAGUGUUUGGUAAUACUUAAACUCAGUUACGCACUCUGUGCGUCAAGCUCAUCGUGGACGGGCCCUCAAAGAAGAAGGGUAGUGCGGGCGGCGUGCAAUCCAUCUAUGCGACCAGGUGCGUACACCGUGUCUGCAUGAUACCAUCGAGCCUCGGGCAACAUCGCUGGAGCACAUUGUGAAUGUGUUGCAAGGUUGAGUGAGACGUGCCAGAACGUUGCCGGCCUCUUACCGUUGCCGACAAGGGGGCUGUGCGUGGAAAAACAAGCCGUCAUGCACGGACUUGCCAUGCAAGUGGAUUGUUCCUUCAGAAGCAAGGAAACCAGCAGCAAAACAUCCACUGCAGGAAAUUCCUUUCCAUAGGAACGUUAUCAACAAGCCAUCAUGUCCAAAACAGCUACGCGAUUACAACCCGAGCCAGAAGGUGACUUCUGAUGCUGAUAUUUCCAAGCUGAAGGCAAGCCUUGUGACUGCGUGCCCAACACUGCAUGCAGUGCGAUACAUGUGCCCCCGCGAAACUCAGCUGGUCACGAAAGCAGCCGCAAAUGUACAUAUGGAAAUUGGUGACGAGGAAGAUCAGUGGGGCAGUCACGCCACAGAAGUUGUGGCUCUUCACUACGAGUCUUUGAAGGCGACAUCAAGUGAGGAAAGACAGCGCAUAUGCACCCGCACACUUGGACAAGCCAACAACAAGAAUUGGUUUGCUGAAUGAACAGGCCCCUUGACAUCAUCAUUAUUUAAGAGAAUAUGUCACGUCGCGAAACCAGAGGGUUUGCUUGGGACCCAAAUUACCCAAAUGACAAAGCAAUGUCAGAAGCAAUGGCAUAUGGGCGGACGCAUGAAGACUGUGCAGUGCAGUCUUAUGUGCUGCUGAUGAAAGCCAGAGUCUACACUGUUGAAGUGAAAAACACAGGGUUGCACGUGCACACUGUAAGAUAGGGAGACUGGAGGUAGCAAGGUGGACUAGCUUAAUGUGAAGAAAAUGCAGCAGCUGUGCACACACAAUGAUAAAUGCAAUGCUACGAAUUAAUAGAGCAGAGUAGCUCAGAAAACAAUUUGAGGUUUAUAGUAUCCUAGCUAAAAUGAAAGAGUGCACAUACUGCGAAGGAAACAGCCAAAUCAUGCGUUCUUGUGAUGCUGUAUUACUGUUGCUUGUGCACCGUGAUGACACGCUGAUUAAAAAAUCUAGGAUUUCACAAGCCAUUUGAAUGUGUCAGCUGAUGUGUGCUCUGUAUAUGUCACAGGAUGUUUUAUGUGCAUGUCUUAGGGCAGCACAAUGACAAUAUUCCUUGGUGCCAUAUGUGUGCUUUCUCUGAAGAGACUGAAAAUAAAACAACUUGAAUUUUA